AUUGAACGCUGGCGGCAGGCCUAACACAAGCAAGUCGAGCGGAUGAAGGGAGCUUGCUCCUGGAUUCAGCGGCGGACGGGUGAGUAAUGCCUAGGAAUCUGCCUGGUAGUGGGGGAUAACGUCCGGAAACGGGCGCUAAUACCGCAUACGUCCUGAGGGAGAAAGUGGGGGGUCUUCGGACCUCACGCUAUCAGAUGAGCCUAGGUCGGAUUAGCUAGUUGGUGGGGUAAAGGCCUACCAAGGCGACGAUCCGUAACUGGUCUGAGAGGAUGAUCAGUCACACUGGAACUGAGACACGGUCCAGACUCCUACGGGAGGCAGCAGUGGGGAAUAUUGGACAAUGGGCGAAAGCCUGAUCCAGCCAUGCCGCGUGUGUGAAGAAGGUCUUCGGAUUGUAAAGCACUUUAAGUUGGGAGGAAGGGCAGUAAGUUAAUACCUUGCUGUUUUGACGUUACCAACAGAAUAAGCACCGGCUAACUUCGUG
rnacentral:rRNA from 1 species